rnacentral:rRNA from 1 species
GGAAUAUUGGACAAUGGGGGCAACCCUGAUCCAGCAAUGCCGCGUGUGUGAAGAAGGCCUGCGGGUUGUAAAGCACUUUCAGUAGAGAAGAAAAGCCUAAGGUUAAUAACCUUGAGUCUUGACGUAACCUACAGAACAAGCACCGGCUACAUCCGUGCAAGCAACCGCGGUAAUACGGAGGGUGCAAGCGUUAAUAGGAAUUACUGGGCGUAAAGCGCGCGUAGGCGGCUGUGUAAGUCGGAUGUGAAAGCCCCGGGCUUAACCUGGGAAUUGCAUUCGAUACUGCAUUGCUAGAGUACGGUAGAGGGAAGUGGAAUUUCCGGUGUAGCGGUGAAAUGCGUAGAUAUCGGAAGGAACACCAGUGGCGAAGGCGACUUCCUGGGCCAGUACUGACGCUGAGGUGCGAAAGCGUGGGGAGCAAAC